rnacentral:lncRNA from 10 species
AAAGGUGGUAAAUGUGGAGGAUUUUAUUGCCAAUAAAAGUGGCUCUCAGCGGGAAGGGAAGCUGAAAAGGGGAUGGGGGGGUAGGUCAUCUUCUUCUGAAGUCUGGCCGUCUCCAGUCAGAUUCUUCUCCUAAGUUACACCAUCAAGCUGCACCUCUGAAGUUAAGCUGCUUCUCUCUGACGUCCAGCCAUAGUCCUGAUGUCCCGCUGCUUCUCCUCUCUGCCAGCUGAGUAAAUUUUUUAAAUAAUUUAAAAAUAUUUUUAAAUAAAAAUAAUAAAAUAUGUAACUAAUAGCAUGUUGUAAAAAUUUUUUUAAUAAAAAUUAGAAAAAAAUGAAAUGAGGGGAACAUUGACAAUGGAAUAUACACUCGACCUUUGCACAUUGGGGGGAUUAGGGGUGCUGAUCUCCCUGCACAGUUGAAAAUCUACAUAUAGCCUUUGAUUCCCCCAAAACUUAACUACUAAUAGCCUACUGUUGACCAGAAGCCUUACUGAUAACAUAAACAGUUGGUUAACACAUAUUUUGGAGGUUAUAUGUAUUAUAUUAUGUGUUCUUACAAUAAAGUAAGCUAGAAAAAGAAAAAAGGAGGUCCUCAUAGAGUUAAGGUUAAAGACUUUCAUGGCUCUCCAUUACCUAAAAGAUGACAUUUAAGUUUCAUGGCCUGAAGGAACAGAAUUGCAAAAAAAGAUCUGCUUUUAUCUCUUUUUUCCUUCACUUUGAGCUUUGAGGAACCGUCCUCAGAUAAUAGGUCUAAAUCCUAUUGCCAAUAGGCAUUUGUCUCUGCCAGCUCUGUAACCAAAAUUAACUAUACAUUAAGAAAAACAGCCUGUAAUCCCAGCACUUUGGGAAGCCAAGGUGGGCAGAUCACUUGAGGUCAGAAGUUCAAGACCAGCCUGGCCAACAUGGUGAAACCCCAUCUGUACUAAAAAUACAAAAAUUAGCUAGGCAUGGUGGUGGGUGCCUGUAAUCCCAGCUACUUUGGAGGCUGAGGCAGAAGAAUCACUUGAACCUGGCAGGCAGAGGUUUAAAUGAGCCGAGAUUGCACCCCUGCACUACAGCCUGGACAACAGAGUGAGACUCAGUCUCAAAAAACAAAUAAACAACAACAAAAACAGAUAAUCCACAGCACCAUCAUAGACCAUGUUUCUUCUAAAGUAG